rnacentral:rRNA from 1 species
AUUGAACGCUGGCGGCAUGCUUUACACAUGCAAGUCGAACGGUAACAGGCCUUCGGGCGCUGACGAGUGGCGAACGGGUGAGUAAUGCAUCGGAACGUGCCCAGUCGUGGGGGAUAACUAUCCGAAAGGAUAGCUAAUACCGCAUACGAUCUGCGGAUGAAAGUGGGGGACCUUCGGGCCUCGCGCGAUUGGAGCGGCCGAUGUCAGAUUAGGUAGUUGGUGGGGUAAAGGCUCACCAAGCCAACGAUCUGUAGCUGGUCUGAGAGGACGACCAGCCACACUGGGACUGAGACACGGCCCAGACUCCUACGGGAGGCAGCAGUGGGGAAUUUUGGACAAUGGGCGCAAGCCUGAUCCAACAAUGCCGCGUGCAGGAAGAAGGCCUUCGGGUUGUAAACUGCUUUUGUACGGAACGAAACGGCUCUGGUUAAUACCCGGGGCUAAUGACGGUACCGUAAGAAUAAGCACCGGCUAACUACGUGCCAGCCGCCGCCGUAA